rnacentral:misc_RNA from 1 species
GUUUAAUACUUAGAAAGGCAUUGUAGCAUACAUCAAAGCUUAUUUGUAAUGUACAUAAUAAGGAUAUCAUGACAGGUUUCAAGCUCCAAAUCAGAAAUAGAAAGGCCGCAUUUUCAGUGUAUCAGGUUUCCUGCUUUAUAAAUUUCCAAAAAUAGACUAUCACGUGCAGAAAUAUCUUAAUAAAAUUGAAUAGAUAAAGUGCAUGCCACCCAAAAUACAGAUAUUGUAGAUAAAUAAAAUCCUGAUAAUCAUCUCUCUCUAAAAUUUCUGAUGAACCAGGAAAAUGUCUCUCCUAGAUGCCAAGAUUGCAAAACGUGACCAAAAUUUUCCAAUUAUCAAAACCCAAAAGUUUCUCGGUGCAUAGGGAUGUAAGAUUGAGGACCAUAGCCCUCUUUCCUCAGCUCUAAAAGAAGAUUAUCCAGCAAUGAAUAUAUAUAUGAGCAAACUUUGGGUGACUUCCAUCAGCGACAACAAUUAUAUGGUUCAUGUUGGUGGCCAAAAUCCAGCUGUAACCUGGCACUUUCUGAACUCCUCAUUCUUUCAUUGAACUUCAUAUCUUGCAUUCACUUCCCCAUUGUCCAGCAUUGGCAUGCAUAUUUGAAUGCAGUAUGUAGCUACCAGAAUUUCCAGGAUUCAAAUCAAGUAGAUAUCCUGAAUCCACUUCAGCAAGCUCAGUAUUGCCAUGGACUCAACAGGCUCCCAACAAUGUCCCCUCAACACCUUCAUUGGGCGAGAGCAGCAUGUUUUUUAUUGUUUCAAAUGCUUCAUUCAAAAGGCCCGCACAGCCAAACAAAUAUAACAUGCAAGCAUAAUGCUCCAUCCAAGUGGGGAUGCAAUGUUCCUCAGUCAUGCAUCUGAAGUACUAGAUUCCUUUAUUGUCUUGGCCAGCACGUGCACAAGCAGCCAAUAUAGUAAGAAAGGUUACAUGAUCAGGUUGAAUUCCACCUUCCAACAUUUUAUGGAACAGGGCAAGAAAAUCCUCAAGGUGACCAUGGCUCCUAUAAAAACAGAAAUGAUACUGUUCCACCAAACUUCAUUCUUCUCUUGCAUCACAUCAAACACAUGACAAUUGAGUCUUAAUACUUUCACAUAAACAGGAGGAAACCCAACAAGCUUUUUCAUUAAUUAGAGAAGGAAUAUAUGACACAAGUGUCUCACUCAAUGACAUGAUUCUCCAUUUAUAAUAUUUUUCCUUAGUAUCAGUGCAACACCGACCUGCAAGAGUUAAAUUAGAAUUUGAACUCAAUUUCUUAAGAUGAUAGUCAGCAAUUUCCGCCGCAUGCCUGCAUAUCUCCAGAGCAUGAUGUGCAUCUCCUGAAACAACUGCCACCUUUGUUGAAGUAAAUUAAAUAGCCUUCUUUUCAUCAAUUCCUCUAAGACAACUUGAAAUGAUUUCCUGAAGUCGCUGAUAAAUGUAGGGUCCAAAGCAAAACCUUUGGAUAGCCAUACAGACUAACAUACGAUGAAGCAGCUCUUCUGGAAGAUCCAUUGUGUUUUUAGUUCUUGAAUAAUGAGGCGUAGCAGGCUAGUCAAGAAUAUUGUAUAGAACCUGGGAUAAAGAGAAAAGAUCAUGCAUAUUACACUUUCCAAUCUUUAUAAACAUUUAAGACUAUGUUUGUGCCACUACAAAAUAACAGCAACAAGUUUUCACAUUAUGAAAUGCAUAAGUUACCGAUUGAUUUUGGGUUACAAGUAGAUCCAGUUCAUCAAUAAAUAGAAUACAAGGCCCGUCAUCCCCUUUGCCCCCUUUCUUUCCAUUCAAAAACCACACAUUUAACAAAUAGAGAGCUUUUUCCAGCUAAACAUGUGUUCUUAAUACACUUUCUCACUUCAAAAACAUAAUUUUCAGCACAGCUUUAUUCCAUACUAAUAUACCAUUCUCUCACUCACUCAACCUUCACCUUUUCUUUCAACAAGGAACUCUUGGUUAUUAGUAAUCUCAGGAUCAGCAAGUUUAACUAUAAAGGAUAUUAUACACAGAGACAUGAUUAAGGCAGGAGAUUGAUGUGGAGUAUCUACAUAUUAUGAGAAAUUAACCAUUCUAAAUCUUUAUCUGAUUUACCUUCAAUAGCUACAAAUGAGUAAAUGAUAUAGUGCUUAAACCAAAUAAUGUAUCAAAAGGAAAUUAAUAAUUAACUUCAGCCAUAAGGAGUUUUAAUUUUAUUAGAGUAAGGGCUUAAACUGCUGCUACUCUAGAAGGCUAUGGCCUUGCUUGAAAGUUUCAAGAAGUACAAAGCAACUUGAUGUAGCAAAAGGAAAACAAAUGGAGAUAAAGUAUAAUACAAAUUUCAGGUAACACGAAGUUGCAGAUAUAAGAACUUGUAGAAAUCAAGAGCUCAAAGUCAGAAUGCAAAGAUGGGAUGGGAUGGACCACAUCAUCGCCAUAUAAUCCAAUGACAAUCCUUCCAGCAUGCUUCCCUACUGGAUUCCCAAUGCUUGUAUCAAAAUACACUUCGUUUGUUACCUUUGAUUGUAAAUCUGUUACCUUGUGAAGUGUCUCACACACUUGUCAGUGAACCAACAUUUGGCUUGAUUUCAAUUAAAUUGUGUAUUUGCAAACUUCUGAUUGGAGUUAAUCAAUAUCAACCCAUUUCCUAAAUGUUUGAACAAAUUCAAGCCUCUUUCUUUGAACCUCAUUUCUUGCCUCUGAUGGUUUUACACCUUUGUACAGAUUCUUAUGAAGCUUCAGAAACUCGCUUUUAUACAUCCACUUGUCAGUGUACAUAUUAUGCUCUUUCAUGUAACCAACAACCUCCAUCACCCUCUCAAAAUAACCACCUCGGAUGAAGUUCAUGAGCAAGAGUUCAUAUAGGUCCCUGCUCAGCACUAUAUUCCUGCUCUUCAUGCUCCUCUUGAUGUCCCCCCAUAAGACUGUAAUAUCUCGAUACCUUUCCAGAGAAGAAUAUCCAUAUAUUAGAAAGGAAAAAGUUUGCACUGUGGGUUGGAUUCCCAUCAUUUGCAUUCUUCGGUAUGUCCUCAGAGCAUCCCCCAUCAUUCUGGCCUUGCAAAAGAAGUAAAUAGAAGCAUUUAACUUGUAGAUCAUAGAAGGAAUCACCUUCUCCUCCUCUCUCACUUCUUCAACCAAGAAGUCAGCCAGAUCUGAUUCACUAACAGAAGAUGACAUAUUACCUGUUGUUUCUAAAAGACCAGCAGAAGCAACUAUCUCACCAGACAAAUUUGAUACUAAACCAGCCUUCCUAAUUUGUCUUAGUAGGGCCUCAGCUUCUUUGAACAUGCCUCGACUAUAAUAAGCUGUUAAGAGAGAAAUGUAUGCAGUCAAGCCCACAGGAAAUCCAGCCGCUUCUGUGUCUUCUAAGACAUCAUGAGCAGUCUCCAGCCAACCUAAACGAAUGCAAGCAUCAAUCACAUCAGAACAUAAAUUGGAUUCUCCCAGUGUCUGAAAAUCCUUUUGCAUGCUUAGUAAAACCUUUGAAAGCUUGGCAAUUCUCUGAUCUCUCUUGUAACAGUGGAUGAGCUUUGCCAGGGCUCUAUUAGUAGGGAGAAGCUUCCCAUUCUUAAAGAUUACAAGUUCUGUUUUAUCCUCCACUUUGAUAACAGAAUCCUUCUGCAGCAGCUCAGGCACAAUUUGUAUCUUCAACCCAGCCCUCAGAUUUUGAGAUCCAAUUGAAACAAGGUAAGGUUUUUGCAUUUCCUCUCUAGUUUUUUUACUAGGAAUAGAUCCCCAGGAUCCAUUCAUAUCUAACAGAAGCUUAGUGGCAGCAUCAAGGUCAUCAAACUUAAAGUGCAAGUUCAACAAGCAAUCGUAGAACCGCUGGUAAUGACAAACAAAAGCCGCAGAUACUCUAUCAAUAUGAUCUUUUAAUUUUUUUAUCUCAUCUCUCAGACCAUUUAUUUCAUAGAUCUGGGAAAUAAUGAUGAUUGAGUGUGCAUCAGCGAUCACAUUGGUUUGUGACAUCCAUUCCAAGAUCUCUUGGCCUUUUAGAUAUGACUUAAACCUCAAACAGGCAUCCAGGACAAGGUUGAAGAUCAUUGUAUCAGGUUUCAUCAUCUUUUUAAGUUCACUUCUUUUUUCACUUAAAUGCAGAACAUAAUCACAAAUCUGAAUCAAGAAAUUGGAUGCGAGGUAUGUGCCAAUCUCUGACUUCACCAUAUGCAAAACAAUUAAUUGUAAUACACUUACAGGGGGCAUAUUCUCUCUCUCUAGCAUCACUCUAAGGAUAAUAGAGGCAGGAAUAGGCAUCUGCGCUCUUGCUAAAGAGAGUGCAAGCUUGGUUAGGAUUUCAGUCUUAAGCAAACUGGAUUUCUCUUUCAAAUUUUCCAAGACUAAAGUACAUGCUUUUUGUAGCCAGUGAGGAUCAGACGAGUAGGACAGUUCAGUGAUCAACCUGCUCACCAAAGAAUCUCUAGGAAAACCAUACAAGCUUUUGAAGUCAUUAAAAGUUACCCAUGCUUCAUCUACCUGGUGAUACUCCAAAGAAACUUCAAGCUUUCUCAAAAGAACAGCAUGAGAGGAAACUUCCCAACCUAUACUUUCAGGCUUAGUACUACUAGAAAAAGGUUUAAAAUUCACAAAUUGAUUCUGUUUACAGAAUACAUCUAUGACUUGAAACCUUCUAAAACUUUUCUCAACUAACAAUUCACCGCCAUGAUAUGAAAUUAAGGCAGUCUUCUGGUUAGCAGAAGCCAUAACAAAUCCAUGCAAACAACUCUUGACGAUGCAUGGUUUCAAAAAAACUUUCCUUGUAGAAAUUAGUGCCAUUCAAAUAUUUAUUACAGCAAGGACCCAAAUAAAUGUCUUGAAAAACCGAAAGACACCCAUUAAUCUCCAACUUUCUCGCUAACUCUGUUUCUUCAGUAGCUCUGAUUUUUGCAAGAAUCCUUUAGCCUUCACCAUGGUGGCUGAAUAAGGAAGAAGGGCAAUGGUGAAUGACAGCUAAUGCGAUGGCAACGGUGAGGAGGAACAGCGAUGGUGAACGACAACGAUGGCUGCGUGAGGGAGCACAGCAAUGAAUAGCGACAAAUGAAGUGAACGAGAACGGCAACUGUGAAAUGGUAAAGGAGAGCGGCGGUGGACGGUGGUGCUGCAACUGAAAGAGCUCACAGUUUGAAAGAGGAAAAUUGAGAAAUUGGUAAAAGGGCAUUGUAUAAGAUUAAAGAAGACCCAAAUGACAAAACCCAUUUAAG